UUUGAUCCUGGCUCAGAUUGAACGCUGGCGGCAGGCCUAACACAUGCAAGUCGAGCGGUAACAUUUCUAGCUUGCUAGAAGAUGACGAGCGGCGGACGGGUGAGUAAUGCUUGGGAAUAUGCCUUAGGGUGGGGGACAACAGUUGGAAACGACUGCUAAUACCGCAUAACGUCUACGGACCAAAGGGGGCUUCGGCUCUCGCCCUUAGAUUAGCCCAAGUGGGAUUAGCUAGUUGGUGAGGUAAUAGCUCACCAAGGCGACGAUCCCUAGCUGGUUUGAGAGGAUGAUCAGCCACACUGGAACUGAGACACGGUCCAGACUCCUACGGGAGGCAGCAGUGGGGAAUAUUGCACAAUGGGCGCAAGCCUGAUGCAGCCAUGCCGCGUGUGUGAAGAAGGCCUUAGGGUUGUAAAGUACUUUCAGUAAGGAGGAAAGGUUAGUAGUUAAUACC
rnacentral:rRNA from 1 species